CAAGGAAUUUUCGGCAAUGGGGGCAACCCUGACCGAGCAACGCCGCGUGGAGGAUGACGGCCUUCGGGUUGUAAACUCCUUUUGCGGGGGACGACAUCGACUGUACCCCGCGAAUAAGGCUCGGCUAACUCUGUGCCAGCAGCCGCGGUAAGACAGAGGAGCCAAGCGUUGUCCGGAUUGACUGGGCGUAAAGCGCACGCAGGCGGCCGUGCACGUGGGGUGUGAAAGCUCUCGGCUUAACUGAGAGACGCCACCUCAUACGGCACGGCUCGAGCCCGUGAGAGGUCCACGGAAUUGCCGGUGUAGUGGUGAAAUGCGUAGAGAUCGGCAGGAACACCCAGGGGGAAACCAGUGGACUGGCACGGUGCUGACGCUCAGGUGCGAAAGCGUGGGGAGCGAAC
rnacentral:rRNA from 1 species